rnacentral:rRNA from 1 species
CUAAGAAUAUUCCGCAAUGGACGGAAGUCUGACGGAGCGACGCCGCGUGGAUGACGAAGGCCGAAAGGUUGUAAAGUUCUUUUGCUGGGGAAGAAUAACCGCAGGAGGGAAUGCCUGUGGGAUGACAAGAACCGGCGAAUAAGCCCCGGCCGACUACGUGCCAGCAGCCGCGGUAACACGUAGGGGGCGAGCGUUGUUCGGAAUUACUGGGCGUAAAGGGCAUGUAGGCGGCUUGGAAAGCCUGGCGUGAAAGUCUGCAGCUUAACUGCAGGGGUGCGCUGGGAACUGCUGAGCUUGAGUGACGGAGAGGGAGCUGGAAUUCCUGGUGUAGGGGUGAAAUCUGUAGAUAUCAGGAAGAACACCGAUGGCGAAGGCAAGCUCCUGGCCGAUGACUGACGCUGAGGUGCGAAAGUGUGGGGAUCAAACAGGAUUAGAUACCCUGGUAGUCCACACAGUCAACGAUGUGCACUAGGUGCUGGGGCGGUAGCUUCGGUGCCGGAGCGAACGUGGUAAGUGCACCGCCUGGGGAGUAUGCUCGCAA